rnacentral:rRNA from 1 species
AUUCAUAAGGGCGUAUGGUGGAUGCCUUGACUCUAAAAGGCGAUGAAGGACGUGGCAUGUCUGCGAUAAGCUUCGGGUAGGUGACUAGCAACCUGUGAUCCGGAGAUUUCCGAAUGGGGGAACCCAAUCUGUUGAACACAGAUUACCUUGUAUCUGUAAAGGAUACUCGGAGUGCACCUGGGGAAGUGAAACAUCUCAGUACCCAGAGGAAAAGAAAACAAUGUCUAUUUAUUUAGAUAAUAUUUCGUAAGUAGCGGCGAGCGAAAGCGAAAGAGCCCAAACCAGCGUAAGAACGACGGAAUUAUAAAUGAUAAAUUUUUAAUUUCGUCGCAUCUUGCAUAGCAAGAUGCGACGGUGACCGCGUGCCUAUUGAAGAAUGAGCCAACGAGUCUAAAUAUGCAGCUGCCUAAUUGCGUUAGCAAGGAGGCACAGCGAAAGCGAGUGUGAAUAGCGCGAAAAAAUUAAGUUGUAUGUUUAGGACCCGAAGCCAAGUGAGCUUGCCAUGAGCAGGGUGAAUUUCGUCGAAAGACGGAAGGAGGCCCGAACCGGUUAGUCGUUCAACUCUAUCGGAUGACUUGUGGCAAGUAGUGAAAAGCUAAUCGAACUUGGUAAUAGCUGGUUCUCUCCGAAAUAGCUUUAGGGUUAGCGUCUAGAUUACCUACUGGGGGUAGAGCACUGGAAGGAUUGAAUAGGGGGAAACUUCGUCAAUCCUAUCAAACUCCGAAUACCAGUAGUCAAUUUCUAGGCAGUUAGACUGUGGGGGCUAAGCUCCAUUGGUCAAAAGGGAAACAGCCCAGACCUACAUCUAAGGUCCCAAAAUUCAUACUAAGUGCACUUAAGGAGGUGAAAUUUCUCAGACAAUGAGGAGGUUGGCUUAGAAGCAGCCAUCCUUUAAAGAUAGCGUAACAGCUCACUCAUCAAGAGAUAUUGCGCCGCAAAUAAUCGGGGCUUUCGUAAAUAGAUUAAAUUUCUUCCCUCGGGUUGGAAAAUUCUUACGAAGAGCGGCUUGCCCUUCUGUAAAAGGAGGGGCCGCAGCGAAAGUAACCCUGCCGACUGUUUAUCAAAAACACAGCUCCCUGCGAACUCGCAAGAGGAUGUAUAGGGGGUGACGCCUGACCAAUGCCAGAAGGUUAAAUAUUGGUGGUACGUUCCUCACUGCGUUUGGAACGCAAGUAAGCAGUAGUAAGGUGUAAGUAGUAAGAAACGAAAAAUUUGCUUUGCAAAUUUUUACUUAUUACUUAAUCCUUAUUACUUAAUACUUGCUCCGAGCGAAGCGAGGAGCGUGCUGUCUGAUAUAAGCCCUGGUGAAUGUCGGCCGUAACUAUAACGGUCCUAAGGUCGUAUCUCUUAAUUUUUAGGGGGUACGAUGACUGGGACUGUUAUGUUUACACGAUAAACAAGAUAGAUAGUUUGUGCAUUAAUAAUUUAAGGAAUUAAAGUUGCCUAUUUAUCAUUUAAUUAUGAUGAAUGUCAAAAAAAUCUAGCUAUAUGCUGGAAAAUCCGAGAAUCUGAAGGUACUCGCUACAUUUUUUGUAGCAGUAAAAAUCCGAUCAGUGCGGACAAUCAGCAGGAAAGAUUAAAAAUUGAAUCUCAGUUUUUAAAAUCCUCAGAGACUAAACGCUAGACUAAGUAAAUACUUAGAAAGUAUAGUCCGAACUACAUAGCGAUAUGUAGAGACAGAAAAAGCUGUCCACUUUGAUUUUUCAAAGGAGUAACAAAUUUGAGCGAAAUUCCUUGUCUAGUAAUUGUAGACGUGCACGAAUGGCGUAACGAGUGGGGUACUGUCUCGGGGAACAGCUCGGUGAAAAUACAAUACCGGUGAAGAUGCCGGUUACCUGCAGCUAGACGAAAAGACCCCAGGAGCUUUACUAUAGCUUGGUAUUGGGUGUAUGUUUUUGAUGCGUAGCAUAGGUGGGAGACUUUGAAGGGCAGUUUUUGGAUUGUCUGGAGUCAACAGUGAAAUACCACUCUUUAAAAAUGUACAUUCUAAUCUCGACGGAAAAAACGGCGGGAGACAGUAUCUGGCAGGUAGUUUUAGUGGGGCGCUAUCCUCCUAAAAAGUAACGGAGGAGCCUAUUAAGGUCAGCUAAGCGCGAAUGGAAACCGUGCUGAUAGUGUAAUGGCACAAGCUGGCUUGAUUGUGAGGCGUGCAUGCCGAACAAGUGCGAAAGCAGAGCAUAGUGAACCGACACCUCGCAUUAGACGCGGGUGAAGAUUAACGGAUAAAAGCUACCCUGGGGAUAACAGGCUGGUAUCGCCUAAGAGUUCAUAUCGACGGCGAUGUUCGGCACCUCGAUGUCGGCUCAACUUAUCCUGGGGCUGGAGAAGGUCCCAAGGGUUUGGCUGUUCGCCAAUUAAAAAGUUACGCGAGCUGGGUUCAGACCGUCGAGAAGCGAAGCUUCUCGACAAAUAACAAGUAAAAAGUCUUGUUUCGCGAUUCGACAGUCUGAAUCAAAACAAAACAUAGAGUUUUUUCGUCUAUGAAAAAGAAAAGAAACCAACCACACGGCGGUCCGUGAAAAGUAAUUUUCACGAGAAAAAGUCAACUUAUAUCGGUAGAAUCCUAUCAUUUUUUUGAGGACAAUACCGAGGGAAAACUGAGUUAAAAGUUGAAAGUUCAUAAAGUUUAUAAAGUAUUAAAAAUCGCACGACGAUUUUCAAAAUGCGUGAGACAGGUUGGUCUCCUAUCUGCUGCAGGCGUUGAUUCUUGAGAAGAUUUGCUCCUAGUACGAGAGGACCGGAGUGAACUAACCUCUGGUGUACCAGCUGUUCCGCCAGGAGCACCGCUGGGUAGCUAUGUUGGGAAUGGAUAACCUCUGAAAGCAUCUAAGAGGGAAGCCAACUUCAAGAUUAGGAAUCGUUUAAGAUCCCUGAGAGAUGAUCAGGUGAUAGGCUCUAGGUGUAAGCACAGUAAUGUGUUCAGCCGAGGAGUACUAAUGCAUCGAGACAU